GACAUGAAGGUUCAGAGGCUGUUGUUCUGGCUGCUCUUGCUCCGGUGUCCCAGUUCCCCAAACCCAAAUCUUGUCCGUGUUGUGCCUGACUAUUUCCCUCUUGGCCCUGAUGGGGUUGGCGUUCUAUGGAAACUUCCAGUUAUCACUGCCUCCUUGGGAAUUUGUCUGUUUCUCCUUUAUAUCUGGAGAACCAUCCUCGCUUUCAAACAUAAUUGUCAAACAGUGUAAUAUG